rnacentral:lncRNA from 1 species
AUGCCCAAUUGGAGGAAACUGAGGCCCAGAGGUGAAAGGUGUUUUGCACCACGAGAAGGAUGCCAUGAAAUGCUCUGCUCUCUUCUCUUUUCCUUGCUGUCCCCGGGGCUGGAGGAGCACAGGCCUCCCAGGCAGGGGCCCUGGCCUUGCUGGAUUCCCAUCUCCUUUCAAGGGUUGAGCCCCCAAGGGCCAGAAGUGAGAGGUGAGUCGGAGCAGGCAGGGCGGGAUGAGGAGGGACCCGACCUCCCAAAGGCUAGCCUGGGUAGGACCCCAGGGGCUGGCGGAGUCUCAGUUGGGAAGGGCUGGGGCCGGGCACAGGGUGUGGCAGGUGUGGACUUGACAGCAGACAGCUCCCUGGGGUUGUGGGGGUGGCGGGCUCCGGGCCAACGGCCUCAGCCAAGCUUGGGGAUGGAGUCCUGUAAAGCCUGAAGGGCCCGUGCAGAGUCCUCGAAUGCUAACCAGCAGGUCAGAGAACUGGCUUCUCUGUGACCCCUGACCCCGUAUUCCAAUUUAAUGAUGGCCAAAGCAGGCCUGACUCAGGCAUCCCGCCUGAGGGGAUGGGACUGAGAGCCCAGAGGAAGGCGUGAGGCCGGAGGCUCAGGAGACCCCGGUUCCUCCAGGCCAUAGCCGGACAUCACCUGGUGGCCUGGCCCAGGCAGGUGAGGGCUAGAGUCUGUCCGUCCAGCCCCUCGGCGGGCCUGGUGGCCGGAGCGUUCCUGGCCGCCGCUGUGCGGUGCCUGUGGUAACGGGGCUGUUGGCGUUUUGCAAUGGGCCGGGGGUGGGGAGGCUGCGCACACAUGCUUCCUGUGGUGACUGGGCGCUUCCUGUUUUCUCAGGCGCCGGACUUGCUACUGCCGAUGUGGAAACAGGGGCAGCUGCAGCCCGGGUGGCUCCGGGCUGGGUGCCCCGACCCUGCCCAGAGGGGCCUAAGUGGGCCCGCCACCCCAGGCCCCGACUCGGGCAGUAAAUGGCCUGGGUUACCCGCCACACCAAGCCCCGUCCUUCCCCAUCCCCGACCGCUUCCGCCCAGAGGAAGGGGCCAGGCAGGGCUGUCCCUCAAGGCUGAGCAGGUGGUCCAGGAGGUCAGAGGUCCAGGUGGGAGCACUGGCCUCAGCUCUGUCGUUUGCUCACGGAGUAACUUUGGCCAUCCCUGCCCCACGGCAGACAUGGUCUCCCCUCGUAUGCGGUGAUCUGAAAUCUCUCACCCCUUUCUGCUCCAGUUCUGACGUCGCUUAGUUUUCCCGUCCCAAGAGCCUUAGCUUCGGGGGCAGGGGGUGAGCACUGAGACUGGGAUCUGGUGGGGGGGGUUUUCUCGGCCUUGACAGAGAAGGGACUUGGAGAGAAGUGGGCGGGGGGAGGUGGUUGGUCAGGUGGGGCAAGCAGACUUAGAACAAGGCGUGGAGGCGGGAAGGCCAGGAUCAGGUUUGGA